GUCAAGUAUGAAUCAGAAAUUCUCUUUGAACGAUCCAUAAGCUGCAUACCCAGCACCGUCAACAUCCACUGCACCGGAACCCUAUGUGACUGCGCCACCAGCUGGUUAUCCGAUGAGCAAAGAGGAUUCCCAGAAACCGGUUGCUUUUGAAACCAAGUCAAAAGGUGAUGGAU